rfam:Rattus norvegicus chromosome 9, whole genome shotgun sequence.
GGGGAUUUAGCUCAGUGGUAGAGCACUUGCCGAGCAAGCGCAAGGCCCUGGGUUCGGUCCCCAGCUCCA